rnacentral:rRNA from 1 species
GAUGAACGCUGGCGGCGUGCCUAAUACAUGCAAGUCGAGCGAACGGACGAGAAGCUUGCUUCUCUGAUGUUAGCGGCGGACGGGUGAGUAACACGUGGAUAACCUACCUAUAAGACUGGGAUAACUUCGGGAAACCGGAGCUAAUACCGGAUAAUAUUUUGAACCGCAUGGUUCAACAGUGAAAGACGGUCUUGCUGUCACUUAUAGAUGGAUCCGCGCUGCAUUAGCUAGUUGGUAAGGUAACGGCUUACCAAGGCAACGAUGCAUAGUCGACCUGAGAGGGUGAUCGGCCACACUGGAACUGAGACACGGUCCAGACUCCUACGGGAGGCAGCAGUAGGGAAUCUUCCGCAAUGGGCGAAAGCCUGACGGAGCAACGCCGCGUGAGUGAUGAAGGUCUUCGGAUCGUAAAACUCUGUUAUUAGGGAAGAACAUAUGUGUAAGUAACUGUGCACAUCUUGACGGUACCUAAUCAGAAAGCCACGGCUAACUACGUG